UGGGGAAUAUUGGACAAUGGGCGCAAGCCUGAUCCAGCAAUACCGCGUGUGUGAAGAAGGCCUGAGGGUUGUAAAGCACUUUCAGCGGGGAGGAAGGGUUAGUAGUUAAUAGCUAUUAACAUUGACGUUACCCGCAGAAGAAGCACCGGCUAACUCUGUGCCAGCAGCCGCGGUAAUACAGAGGGUGCAAGCGUUAAUCGGAAUUACUGGGCGUAAAGCGUGCGUAGGCGGAAUAUUAAGUCAGAUGUGAAAGCCCUGGGCUCAACCUAGGAAUUGCAUAUGAUACUGGUAAUCUAGAGUAUGGCAGAGGACAGUGGAAUUUCUGGUGUAGCGGUGAAAUGCGUAGAUAUCAGAAGGAACACCAGUGGCGAAGGCGACUGUCUGGGCUAAUACUGACGCU
rnacentral:rRNA from 1 species